rnacentral:rRNA from 1 species
GACGAACGCUGGCGGCGUGCUUAACACAUGCCAGUCGAACGAAGAGCGAUGGAAGCUUGCUUCUAUCAAUCUUAGUGGCGAACGGGUGAGUAACGCGUAAUCAACCUGCCCUUCAGAGGGGGACAACAGUUGGAAACGACUGCUAAUACCGCAUACGAUCUAAUCUCGGCAUCGAGGAUAGAUGAAAGGUGGCCUCUACAUGUAAGCUAUCACUGAAGGAGGGGAUUGCGUCUGAUUAGCUAGUUGGAGGGGUAACGGCCCACCAAGGCGAUGAUCAGUAGCCGGUCUGAGAGGAUGAACGGCCACAUUGGGACUGAGACACGGCCCAGACUCCUACGGGAGGCAGCAGUGGGGAAUCUUCCGCAAUGGACGAAAGUCUGACGGAGCAACGCCGCGUGAGUGAUGACGGCCUUCGGGUUGUAAAGCUCGGUUAAUCGGGACGAAAGGCCUUCUUGCGAAUAGGGAGAAGGAUUGACGGUACCGGAAGAGAAAGCCACGGCUAACUACGUG